rnacentral:misc_RNA from 1 species
AAGUCGUAACAAGGUUUCCGUAGGUGAACCUGCGGAAGGAUCAUUAACACGUAUCCAACGUUAAACCCCCCGUGAACCUUCAUUGUGCUCCCCCAUUCCGUUAGGACGCGGGACCUCUGCAUGGAGUGGGCAGCAGCGCGAGGCAAGUGGCCUGGCAUUCGAAAGAAUGGCGCAGUAACGAUCGCUAGAGGCCGACACGGCCGGCGACCGGGUCACUGGGCUCACGCCCCCCUAUCACCUUUGCAUGAAAACGGGCCUGCGCUUAAUUGUGCGGCCACCAAACUCGAACAACUGUUAACAAUGGAUAUCUUGGUUCUC